rnacentral:rRNA from 1 species
CCUACGGGUGGCAGCAGUGAGGAAUAUUGGUCAAUGGACGCAAGCCUGAACCAGCCAUGCCGCGUGCAGGAAGACGGCCCUACGAGUUGUAAACUGCUUUUGUACGGGGGUAAAGUCAGAUACGCGUACCUUUCUGAAUGUAUCUUACGAAUAAGGAUCGGCUAACUCCGUGCCAGCAGCCGCGGUAAUACGGAGGAUACGAGCGUUAUCCGGAUUUAUUGGGUUUAAAGGGUGCGUAGACGGGCUGUUAAGUUAGAGGUGAAAUGCCGGGGCUCAACUUGGGAAUUGCAUUUGAUACUGUCAGGCUAGAGAGUAGUUGAGGUAGGCGGAAU